rnacentral:rRNA from 1 species
GACGAACGCUGGCGGCGUGCCUAAUACAUGCAAGUCGAGCGAAGUUUUUCUGGUGCUUGCACCGGAAAAACUUAGCGGCGAACGGGUGAGUAACACGUAAAGAACCUGCCUCAUAGACUGGGACAACUAUUGGAAACGAUAGCUAAUACCGGAUAAUAGCAUUAACUGCAUGGUUGAUGUUUAAAAGUUGGUUUUGCUAACACUAUGAGAUGGCUUUGCGGUGCAUUAGCUAGAUGGUGGGGUAAAGGCCUACCAAGGCGACGAUGCAUAGCCGACCUGAGAGGGUGAUCGGCCACACUGGGACUGAGACACGGCCCAGACUCCUACGGGAGGCAGCAGUAGGGAAUCUUCCGCAAUGGGCGAAAGCCUGACGGAGCAACGCCGCGUGAGUGAAGAAGGAUUUCGGUUCGUAAAGCUCUGUUGUUAGGGAAGAAUGAUUGUGUAGUAACUAUACAGAGUAGAGACGGUACCUAACCAGAAAGCCACGGCUAACUACGUG